AGCAGUUUCUCGGUUGAGGGUUAAAGACCUUCGUUGGGGGCAGUGAGGGAGGGGCAGGCUCUGCUGGUUCCUGUAUCACAUUCAGAUGAAGCUAAACAAGCUCUACACAUAAGUUUGCUUCUCAAACAUUGGACGGCCGAUAGGUUAAAGAGGUUCACCUUGAAUUUGAUUGGCUUGCUCCUGGUGCAGCUUGAGGCGACAUAAGAAAUGUGAGAGCAUUUAUAUCAAUAUGUCAAAAGACUCAUAGUCAAAAGUCCCUUUACCACGCACCUGUAAUGAAAACCCACUGGACUAACACACUUCACUUUUUAAACUAACAGUUUAUUCAUGGGUCACAUGAUCUCAGGUCAGCUCGUGCGCAUCCAACCUGUUUCCCUCGUGCAGGGGGAGACGCUGAUCCGACGCGCUGACGUCAGCAGGUCUAUGACAGUACUUCCUGGAGUGGUGUUUGUUGUGGGAAAUAAUAACCACCGUGGAGUCGGACCUCUGAGAGGACAGGACGAGCUUACAACCACCACACCGACCUCCGAGCAUGUGUCCGCGGCAUCAGAUGAGACGGGCGGAGAAGUGACGGCCGGGACCGAGUAGGGGGGACACGGGGGAUAUCCACGGACUGACAGCCCCUGCAGAGCCGAGUCGAGCCGAGCCGAGCGGAGCCGCCGACAGCCUCCGAGCUGUCGCGAUGUUGUAGCCCAAACCAUGGACAGCAGAAUAAAGGAGAAUCCAGAGAGGACAUUUGAUCUGGUGGUGCAGGUGGCGUGUCCAGCUUCUGAACAUGAAGAUCCAACCGUGCUGUGGAGCUUCCCCCAGGACCACACAGACCAGG